rnacentral:rRNA from 1 species
ACCUCUGCAAUAAGCGAAAGCUUGACAGGGUUACUCUGAGUGAUUUCCGCUAAGGAAGUCUUUUGGCACCUCUAAAAAUGGUGCAGAAUAAGGGGUGGGCAAGUCUGGUGUCAGCCGCCGCGGUAAUACCAGCACCCCGAGUGGUCGGGACGAUUAUUGGGCCUAAAGCAUCCGUAGCCGGUCCUGCAAGUCCUCCGUUAAAUCCACCCGCUCAACGGUUGGGCCGCGGGGGAUACUACAGGGCUAGGAGGCGGGAGAGGCAAGCGGUACUCGAUGGGUAGGGGUAAAAUCCACUGAUCCAUUGAAGACCACCAGUGGCGAAGGCGGCUUGCCAGAACGCGCUCGACGGUGAGGGAUGAAAGCUGGGGGAGCAAACCGGAUUAGAUACCCGGGUAGUCCCAGCUGUAAACGAUGCAGACUCGGUGAUGGGCUGGCUUCGUGCCAACCCGGUGCCGCAGGGAAGCCGUUAAGUCUACCGCCUGGGGAGUACGGUCGCAAGACUGAAACUUAA